UACGUAGGGGGCAAGCGUUGUCCGGAUUCAUUGGGCGUAAAGAGCGUGUAGGCGGCCAGGUAGGUCGGUUGUGAAAACUGGAGGCUCAACCUUCAGAGGUCGACCGAAACCAUCUGGCUAGAGUCCGGGAGAGGGAUGCGGAAUUCCAGGUGUAGCGGUGAAAUGCGUAGAUAUCUGGAGGAACACCGGUGGCGAAGGCGGCAUCCUGGACCGAUACUGACGCUGAGGAGCGAAAGCGUGGGGAGCGAACAGG
rnacentral:rRNA from 1 species